rnacentral:lncRNA from 1 species
AUCAGCCCAAAACUUAUAACAAAGACCUGUCCAAAAUUCUCCCAGUUGCUCAAAAUAAGCCCUAGCUUGGAAGAGAGGACGUCAAAAAUUCACUUCAUCCCAAUUUAUACUUGCAGCAAAAUCCAAUACUAGAUCCUACUUUCUUUUUGUAAUUUGUCUUUCAGAUAAUGGAUUGUUCCUCCGAUUAUGGCAGAUACAAAAAUACUUUUGGCUGAUUUCAACUUCGACAUGUGUGCGCAAUUUAAGGGCAAACUUUUGGCUCAUUAUUUAGGCUUUUGUUUUUUCCCUUUGCAUUGGUAUGAGUUUCUUGAUUUAUUGAAUAUUACGUGUUCUUGUUGGUUUCUCUUUUGUUUGAUAUUGUUUGGUUUUGUUUUGUGAAACCUCAUUGGAAUAUCAUUUUCUUAGAUGAAAUGAAUUAAUUUGUGUAUAGGACUUUCUUGUUAUACUUAGAAAUUUGUAGAAAACACACAUUUGGGCAAAUCUCUGAAUGCUUGAAGGGAUUAUUCGCUACUGAAAAGAUAAAAAUCUAUAUCUAGUUUUAAGGUUUUUAAGCCUUUGAGUGAUGUUCAAAUAAUUGGGUUUGGCUUGUAAUUGAAGAUUUUUCUUCGACUACUUGAAAUUAUUAACACUAUAUUACAUGAAUAUGGGAUUGGUGAAAUAUGUUUAUGCCCUUUUGUUUGGUAAUAUUAUAAAGGGUCGGAAGAAUACAACGAAAACCUAUUUCAUUCAAAUUGAAUGGUCAAGAAAAUAGGUUUCAACAAUUGAUGAAUUAUCACCAACAGAAGCAUUAUAAAGAUGGGCUUCAAAUCUCAAACAAUGGUGGAGAGGUAAUAGAAUUAAUAUAGACAUUUGGGAGUUUUGGACAGUUUGAAUAAAGAGAGUAGAAUAAAAAUAGCUGCCAAGGUUUUACAUUCAUUGACAGAUGAAAAUCUCUAUUUGAAAAGCAAAUAAGAUGUAUGGCGGGCAUAUUUCAAAUGUUCGAUCGCCAUCAUAUUUUUACUGGACAGCACAUCCAGAAGAGGAUUCCGUCGGUAAAUAUUCCUUCUUGUAUUGUUUCUUGACUAUAAUCUUGUAGGAUUUUUUAUUUGUCUAGUUAGAUAUUCUAUAACUAGUUAGAAGACUAAAUAUGAAGCUAGCCUGUCUUCCAGGUUGUGAGGAAUGUUAUACACACACACACACACACUCACACUCACACUUGUGAAAAAAAAAAAAUUAUAGGGUCUCAAUAAUAAUUAGUCGCUUAGGGCCUCAGAAUUCUCAAGACCGGUCCUACAUAAAAAUAUAAAAUGACGUAACCAUUUUCGAUAUCUUUAACGUAAACGAAUUUGUCACACUCGUUGAUCUUAGAUCCACAUUUAAUCACAAUGUUAUCAAAUUUUUUGCAUGUCACUAUUUGGGUGCUUGUUUCAAGCAUUACAAUGAUUUCACCAAUUUACAGGCUUUCUUUUCCUGCCCUGAUGAUGAAGAACCCUCGGGUUUUUCCAUUAGAUUCUUUCUCUAAAUUUCCAUUCAAAAAGGUAGUUUUAACUUCAAUUUGAUAUCCUUUAAGAUUUUGUAGAGCCGUAAUCACAAGUAUCAUCCUAAUAGAAAUUAUUUUCGUUACUGGAGAAUAUGUAUCAAGGCAACCAAGGCACUCACGUUGUUUGUAACAUUUUAUCACUAAUCUGGCCUUAUAUUUAGUUCCAUCUACUUUCAUUUUCCUUUUGAAAAUCUAUUUGUAGUCUACCGAUUUGUUCUUGAAGGAGGAUCCACCAGCUCACAUGUAUGAUUUUACAAAUGGAAUCUAUUUUGCUUUUAAUGGCCUCUUUCUAUUGAGAUUCUUCCGAAGAGUUCACUACUUUUUAGAAACUUUUAGGUUCACUUUCAGCAUAUAAGUCAAAAAAUUAUGACUAUAAAAUUUUUCUAUCCUUUCUCUUUUGCAACCUCAACUUCAUUUUCUAGUCCUUGAUCCUAACUAUUUCUGACCAUAGUCUCAUGUGUCCGUUUAAAAAAGCUUGCUACCUCUUUAGAUCUGUACGGAAAUAUAUGUUUAAAGAAUGAAACAUUUCUUGAUUCCAUUAUCAUAGUUUUGUGUAUGUAUGGGAUUUUAGACUCGUGCACAAGAAAUUGAUAAACGCUACUAUUAUGUGCUUAGCCAAUGAAGAUGAAAUCUACAACUUUCGGACUUAUCUUCACCUUCUUUGGUGUUAGUACAACCACUUUAGCAAGACGCUUCGCACUCGUAAGUAUUAUAGAAAUAUUUCCUUCCUUUUCCAUAAGGUAUAAGGGCUUUUUUUCUUUUUUCGUUCAGGCUACAUUGUUUAAAAGGUAAUUUGUCGACCGCACAGCUUCCCUUUACAUGUUUUGAGGUAACUCAAAACUUACUAAUAUUUCAUUCAUAAUUUCCUUUAAGGUACUAUUUUUUCUUUCAGUAAUACCAUUUUGUUGAGAUGAAUAAGUUGCAAUG